CGGACCGUGGAGGCCGGGUGCAGCCCCGUCGGCUCCGCGCUCUCGGCAGGAAAGGCUUUUCUACGCCCCCCGCCCAUCACUUGGAUCUGCUCUGGGAAGGGGGGGGAUAUUUUUCUGAAUGUCCCCCCCACACACACCAUGGUGAAGGAUUUGAGGCUGGACUCUAAUCGAGGCGGAGGCGGCAGGGCCCGCGGGGCACCCCCCGCCCCGCGCACGCCUCCCGGGAGCCCGGGAAGGCGCAGCUCCGGGGGGCCCCCUGCACCCCCGGAGGAGGCAGCGGCGAGCCAGUCCUGCCCAGAUCUGACUUAUUCCGAAGCCGGCACGCUUAACUCCUGCCAUCCGUGUAUCACACAGCUGGUCCAGAGUGGUUUUCCAGUUCAUCGGCUUGAUCUCCAGUCGCUUCAGAGAAUAAUCAUGCGAAAUAGGAGUUAACCAUCCUCAUUUUCUAAAUAACAUCAUAACCAUCACCUUAUACUGAGUGUUUUAUAAGAGCUAAGCCCUCCACACGGAUGAAGUCAUUUUUAUUGCACAAGCAACACAGAAGGGAGGCAGUGUUACUGUGUCUGGCUUUGCCAUGAGGAAACAAGCUGAGAGAGAGGAACGGACUUGUCCAAGCCCACACACCCAGCGUGUGAGGAGCCUGGAUCUUCCAUCUCAGAGACAAACCUGCCCAGGAGUUCAGAGGAUGAAACACGGAACGCAUGUGUAAAGACCGGAGGGUGGAAACACUCCGUUUUGAUAAAAGGAGAUCUGCUCGGCAUGGAAUCCUCCAUCCCGCUCGUCGGGAGAUGCAAAGAUUUAUCCAGAGAGGGGCUGAUGAAUUGAGGAUACAGAAAUGAGGCCAAUGUAUUGGUUUGGGCUGCCCACCUAUGCUGGCAUCUCUGGGGCAAGCCUGGGGAGCAGGUUUGAGAGACGUCUCAUCUCGUGCAUGUCCGCACACCCUCUCCUGUCUCCAUGGCGACCAGUGAGGUGAGAAAGCAGCAUCCAAAAGCCUCCUGUCCACAUGAGGAUCGCACCAGGCUGCUGCUGUUGUGCCCAACCCACCAUAGCUGCUCCCGACGGAGAAUUCUUAGAUCUUCACAGCCCCACCCACCACCGCAUCCACCUCCUUGUACCCCUCUGCCAUCACUCCUGCCCUCCCUGUGCACCCCCUGAGGAGUGGAGGCCAAUGAAUGGAGAAAACAGGACCUCGAACUGGAUCCAGAUUCAACUCUUGACCUCAUGUAAUAGCGAGACCUUUAACCUCCCAUGCUUUGAUUUUCUCACCUGUAAAAUGGGUGACUUCAGCUAACUCAAUAAAUCAUUAUUAUGGGGG